rnacentral:rRNA from 1 species
UACGGAGGGUGCAAGCGUUAUCCGGAUUCACUGGGUUUAAAGGGUGCGUAGGAGGGCAGGUAGGUCAGUGGUGAAAUCUUUGGGCUUAACCCGAAAACUGCCAUUGAUACUAUCUGUCUUGAAUGCGGUGGAGGUGAGCGGAAUAUGUCAUGUAGCGGUGAAAUGCUUAGAUAUGACAUAGAACACCGAUUGCGAAGGCAGCUCGCUACACCUGCAUUGACUCUGAGGCACGA